rnacentral:rRNA from 1 species
GACAGAGGGUGCAAACGUUGUUCGGAUUUACUGGGCGUAAAGCGCGUGUAGGCGGCUUUGCAAGUCGGAUGUGAAAGCCCACGGCUCAACCGUGGAAGUGCAUCCGAAACUGCAUGGCUGGAGUCUCGGAGAGGAAGGUGGAAUGCUUGGUGUAGAGGUGAAAUUCGUAGAUAUGGGGAGGAACACCGGUGGCGAAGGCGGCCAUCUGGACAGUGACUGACGCUGAGACGCGAAAGCGUGGGGAGCAAACAGG